rnacentral:rRNA from 1 species
GGCGUCGAGCGGCGGACGGGUGAGUAACACUUAGGAAUCUACCUAGUAGUGGGGGAUAGCUCGGGGAAACUCGAAUUAAUACCGCAUACGUCCUACGGGAGAAAGGGGGCAGUUUACUGCUCUCGCUAUUAGAUGAGCCUAAGUCGGAUUAGCUAGAUGGUGGGGUAAAGGCCUACCAUGGCGACGAUCUGUAGCUGGUCUGAGAGGAUGAUCAGCCACACCGGGACUGAGACACGGCCCGGACUCCUACGGGAGGCAGCAGUGGGGAAUAUUGGACAAUGGGUARRACCCUGAUCCAGCCAUGCCGCGUGUGUGAAGAAGGCCUUUUGGUUGUAAAGCACUUUAAGCAGUGAAGAAGACCAUAUGGUUAAUACCCAUAUGCGAUGACAUUAGCUGCAGAAUAAGCACCGGCUAACUCUGUGCCAGCAGCCGCGGUAAUACAGAGGGUGCAAGCGUUAAUCGGAAUUACUGGGCGUAAAGCGAGCGUAGGUGGCUUGAUAAGUCAGAUGUGAAAUCCCCGGGCUUAACCUGGGAACUGCAUCUGAUACUGUUAAGCUAGAGUAGGUGAGAGGGAAGUAGAAUUCCAGGUGUAGCGGUGAAAUGCGUAGAGAUCUGGAGGAAUACCGAUGGCGAAGGCAGCUUCCUGGCAUCAUACUGACACUGAGGCUCGAAAGCGUGGGUAGCAAACAGGAUUAGAUACCCUGGUAGUCCACGCCGUAAACGAUGU